UGAAUUACAUCUUACAUACAAUUAAAAACGGAAAUACUAAAACCAUAUUUAUUAGGCCUUGAAAUGGGAAGUCAAUUCUCUGGUCCUCGUGUGCAAACGGGUAACGAAUUUUUAUGUAGGUUCACAUUUUAUAAGUUAUUUUAUAUUUUUAAAAGUAAAUAAAUAGAAGCCUCCAGAAUUUUACACGAGUUGGAAACUUUCCUCAUAUCACUUCCCCAAGCAACCAUAAUAAAACUCCCCUCUUCUCUGUCCUUCUCUGCCCCUUCUCUGUUCUUCUCUUGAUUCUUAUUAAGAAAGACAAAUGAUGUUAAAAUCUUGAAGCCAAAAUUUUACCUGCCUACUAGGAACACCUCACUAAGAAUUGAGAGAGACUUGAAAAGAGAUGAAGUGGACAAGGCACGAGAGGAAGCAUUUGCAAUUCAACAGCAGUAGGCACAAGAAAAAGACAUGUAUGAUAGAGAGAUGAAAAUCAUGGCCAUGGAUACGAGCCAUAUGUCUCCUAAAACAAAGGCCUAUUGGAAGCAUAGACGAAGGGAUGUGAUGAGAAGAAAACUUUUCCAUGACGACGGACCUAGCAAUAUGUAUUGGUUAAAUAAUGAAAACCAUUAAGUUGUAUUGAAACACCUUUGCCAUAUGUUGUAUUGUUGUAUUAUCCUUUCAUUUGUUGUAUUGUUUCCUUUUUAUUCAAUAAAAAAAGCAUUAAAUAAUAUGACUAUUUAUUAAAAACAUUUGAGCAUCAAAACAAAGAUUAAUUAAAAAUAAACCUUGAUUUAUUGCAAACAACACACAAAACAAACCAUACGUAAAAGCAUAAUAAUAAUAAUAAAAAAGCAUAAUUUCAAAAAACACCACACACAAAAUAAAGCAUAAUUAAAAACAAAGCAUAAUUCCAAACAAAGCACUAAUCAUCAUGCUUUUGAAUGAAGUAUGUGUCGUAAUUACAAAUAUCAUGCAUGAUUUUUUGGAACAAAUGUGGCUGCAUUCUAUAUCUUUCUCGAAACUUAGAAACAGGAUAUAACGAAUUUGGGAUAAAGUAAUCCUCCAAGAGAUUCUUACCCGAGAGUCCCUACGUCUGUCCACAUUCGGGGCACGAUGACGACGGUGUUGCCUUGAUUGAUUAAGCAUACACACCGCUGCUGCAAGCAUUUGUUCCUUUUCUUCAUCGGAGUCCCGAUCUUCUUCAGCACGUCUACGCCGGAUUUCUUUCCUUUCUUUCAGUUGCCUCUCCAACACCCUCCUCAAGUUUGACAUUGAGAGUAGAAUGUGUUUUGUAAAAU
rnacentral:lncRNA from 1 species